rnacentral:tRNA from 1 species
GGGGAUUUAGCUCAGUGGUAGAGCGCUUGAAGCGCAAGGCCCUGGGUUCGAUCCCCAGCUCCG